CGUGGGAGGGUUCUGACUAGGGGACUAUCCACGAGGGUUCCCCUAGUCACAUCCUUCCCUCGAU
rnacentral:pre_miRNA from 1 species